CCCGGCCCCCAACUCCGCCGCUCCCCUCCUCCUGCCCAGCCCUGCCUGGCCCUGCCCGAUCCCUCCCCGCUCUGCACAGCCCGUCGCUCCGUCCCUCCGUCCGUCUGUCCGGGGGCAGACUCGUGCUGUGGACCGCUGGUUGCCACCCUGUGCUCAGCAUGCCCUUUUCUGGUGCAACCGGACCCUCCAAGGAAUCGCUCUGGAGCUCGAGGCUGGCCUGCAGGGUAAGGUGAUACGGCCGUGGUGCUGUCUCAUUCUGCGCCAGGGCUGCCCUCCCAGCUAA
rnacentral:lncRNA from 1 species